GACGAACGCUGGCGGCGUGCUUAACACAUGCAAGUCGAACGGAAAGGCCCUGUUUUAGUGGGUUGCUCGAGUGGCGAACGGGUGAGUAACACGUGAGUAACCUGCCCUUGACUUUGGGAUAACUUCAGGAAACUGGGGCUAAUACCGGAUAUGAGCCCCUGCUGCAUGGAGGGGGUUGGAAAGUUUCGGUGGUGGGGGAUGGACUCGCGGGUUAUCAGCUUGUUGGUGGGGUAGUGGCUUACGAAGGCUUUGAGGGGUAGCCGGCCUGAGAGGGUGACCGGCCCCAUUGGGACUGUGAUACGGCCCAGACUCCUCCGCGAGGCAGCAGUGGGGAAUAUUGCGCAAUGGGCGGACGCCUGAUGCAGCAACGCCGCGUGCGGGAUAUCGGCCUUCGCGUUGUAAACCGCUUUCGCCUGUGACGAAGCGUGAGUGACGGUAAUGGGUAAAGAAGCACCGGCUAACUACGUG
rnacentral:rRNA from 1 species